rnacentral:lncRNA from 1 species
AAGUCAACUUUGAACAUAUUCUGAACAAUUCAGAAUUGUCCUCACUAACCGUUUUAAAGUCUUGCAAACGAAGGUGCAUCCACUCAUAACGGGCUUUGGGGAGGACUAUAGUCCUCUGAUGAUCAAAUCUUUCAGUUAACUUUUUCCAAAGAACUUGUGGAUCUUUCUCAGUGAGAUAUUCAAUUUUUAAUCCAUCGUGAAGAUGGUGACGGAGGAAAAUGAGUGCUUUUGCACGAUCCUGCAGGGAUUCAUUGUUUCCUUCUUUUAUUGUCUCUCCCAAACCCUUUAGGACGAGAUGGAUAUCAGCAUCCAGUAUCCAUGACAGAUAAUUUUUACCAGAUAUAUCAAGUGCAGCAAACUCAAGUUUCGUAAUGUUUGUC